AAAUGAGAGCUGCAAACUUGAGCAGCGCUCCUUUUGCGAGGUGAAACAAAGCUCUGCUUUCCUCCCCACGUGCUGCCUUUUAGAAGUUGGGUUUGCGGAACUUGUAAGCGUGCAAACUGAGCGGAGCGGGCCGGCUGCUCGCCCGCACCGCGGCACUAAGCAAAGGACAGGCGAGGGAACGCUUUAAAUGGCGAACUGGGCCGCGCAGCAAAUCUCGUGCUCUGCUCCCAGCUCGCCGCAGCAGCCACAACUCAGCACGCUCCUUUCGGCCCCCGUGGGGUUGUGGGGAAUGUUUACCAAGAGGCCCAGACCGGCUCUCGGAGCAGCUGAGCGCGGAGGCGAUCAGCGCCCACGAGGUUCGGGCCCGCAAGGCAGACAUCAUUCAUUUACCAUGGCAGCAAGGCGCGUUCCGAAAGUGACUUCCAAGGAGGGAGCAUCACAGUGCCAGGAGAAGCAUGUGGUUCUGCUCAGCCCUGUGGGAAAACUGGAGAUGUCUGGGUGUGAAACAGGAGUACAUGAAAUUAAACUCCCCAAACUGAGUGUGCUGCCAAAUGGGACGGAGGCUCCGAUGCGCUGUGAGCUGUGUGGCACUGCGACCUCCAUGCCGGAGCCGCUGCAGCAGUGCGCAGCCUGGCUGAGCGCCUACUUCUGUGAGCCCAGCAGGACACAGCAGCUGCCCCUGCCACCCUUCCACCACCCCAUGCUGCAGCGAGAUUCAUUCACCAGAGAGGUGUUGUGGACCCUGCUGAGGGAAGUGAAGUUUGGAGAGACCAUUUCUUACCAGCAAUUAGCAGAGCAAGCAGGCAACAGCCGAGCAGCAAGAGCGGUGGGAGGAGCAAUGAGGAGCAACCCUAUCCCAAUUAUCAUACCGUGCCACAGGGUGAUUUGCAGCAGCGGGCAGAUCGGCAACUAUGGAGGAGGAAACCUUAUGAAAGAGUGGCUUUUGUCACACGAGAAGCUCCAGAAAGAGAAGUUAGCAGAUUGAUGCGGCUCAGCCACAGCUGCUCGACAGCCAAGGCACACGACUGCAGCAACUUGGCUUAUAACGAGCUCUCAGAGCACCCAGCAGAAUUCAGAAAAAUGGAAGGAGGACAGCACGUUCCAGCCAACCUGGGAGCAAUGCAAGGGGAUGCGUGUCAUGCUGGCAGUGAUGGAGAGAGGAGCAUUGCUGCUGGAUCUGCUUUGUGCUGCACAGACACACACCAUCUUCCUCAUCCCCCGUUGCAAAGAUGACAUGUCACAGAGGAGGAGGUGCCAGGUGGGGACACACCAGCAGGAAGGGCUUGGAAGAUAUUUGGCAAAAUUUAUUUAUCGUUAUUUCCCCAUCCUCCUGUUGUCCUGCAUCACAGCCCACAGUCCUCACACAUGAGGGUGUGAUGUCAAUGGGUUGAUUGUUCCCUGGCUGACCUGUUGGCACAGAAAAUCGUUUGAUUUGUAAUAAUUAUUUCGUGUUGAGCUGGAUUUACUGUGCAACUACUGUUUCUAUGAAUGGCCUUGAUGCCAGGGUCAAAUGGAGUUGAUCACUGAUUGUGACUGUUUACACUUUUAAUACCAGGAAUUUGGCUCAGGCUGACGUGAAUUAUUGGUAUGUGCCAAAAAUGCAUGACUUUUCAUGGUAACAUUUUUAAAAAUUACCUUAAUUCUACAAACUGAUAUUUCUCUGCAAUUUAUCAGAUGUGGUUUGUUCAACAGGAGGGCGACUCUGGGCUUCACCGUGCAAUAAUGUAACUGGAAUUUAAUUUCUGCAAAUGGGAUUUCUUUUAAAAUCAAAACCUGGUUUUGAAGGAGAAAAAAAAUUAAAAAUGAACAAAACUUUUAAUGUCAGUUUCAGAAAUAAGGCCAAAAAGGUCUCUGAUUCAUAAUCAUGGAAGCAGAGUCAACAUGUGAUGCUAAUUCUAUGGGUUUUCCAAAAAUGAAUGCUCUUUCCAUGUAUAAUUUACUGUUUCUGUGAUUCAUCAAAGCUUUUUGUCCUCCAGCACACGAGUGGUCACCUGUGGUUUAUGCAGCAGAGGACUCAGUAGGUCCAAACCAAAGUGGAGCAGAGCAGCUUUGCUCCCAGUCGAACCCACCAACUCCUUGCCUAAGUUGCUGCAGCGGUCCCAGAACUGUAACUUGAUGCAUGGCAAAGUUGUCGUGGAAUUAUGGAUUUACUCAGCAAUACUUUUGGGGGGAGAAAAAAAAAGAUCCAAUCUGUGUGGUUACCAUGGCAACCAGCAGGUACCCAGUGUGUGCCCUGCGAUGCAGGGACCGGCACCCGUUGCCCCCUGGGAGCGUGGGGCUCCCCAAACCAUGGGAGCAUUGCUGGAGCUCCAUCCAUCCUGACUUCAGCUGCUCACUUCUCAUUUCAGAUGUACCCUCUGUAAUCUGCUAGGAUAUGUAGGCCAGUCUUGUUCCCCCCCACACACACUCCAGCCUAUGUCCUCUUUCUAUUUAGGAAUUAAUUAUGAUGCUAUCUCGUAUAACUCAUUAGUAUCAAUUAAUUCUUUGCCUUUCAUGAUUUUAUAUAGCUAAAUUAGAUUGCCACUUAGGAACCUGAUAAUCAGUUUUGGACUCAUUUAGACAUUGCUUUUUCCCCUCUCCACCCAGUUUUGUGGAGCACUGCGAUGCAGGGCUGGGCUGUUGGGGGCACCUCUGCCUCCUCGCUCCACCUGCUUGGCAGCGUGAAUGCAUCCUUCUGAAUUUUAACAGCCCUCACUGUUUAUUUAGGGGCUGUGUUGGAUGGUAUUCGUGCUUUGUCAGAGCAGAGAUCCCUCCUUCCAGCAGUUGGCCAAGCCAUUGAGUUCCCUUCCCGUAAGCUCUCUGUGGGGACUGGUAGAAUCACCUGGGGAUGUGUGCGUUCUCCUUGUUCAUUUUGGUGGGAUGCUCCUUGUGAAAUCGCAGCCUUGCUGGCAUCUGCACGGCUGUGUUUAACUGCUUCACUGCUCACUGGCACGCCGCAUCCAUUCGGGGGAAAAAAGCCGUAAUAUGAUUGAAUAUAUCUGGCAGGACCUGAUAUUCCCACUCAUUUUGACUCCGAUCCAGCAGCAGCAAAGGCAAUUAAAUAACAAGUUUUCUCCGGCAAAAUGAGUUGCAAAAUGCCCCCAGCUGCAUGCUGCAGGAAAUACACCUUGGCUUUGCUGAUUGCCAGCAUGCCUGCACCUGUCCCUGGCUGAGGAGGUCCUGUGCAGCAAGGCUGCUCCCCAGUUGGGCUGUGUGAGGUGGCACAAGCACCAGGUUUGCAUUGCUGGCAGUGUGUGGCCAUCACUGGCUCACUGCAGCACAGUACGUUCCUGGUGCUUCACAGUCUGCCACAUCAGAGCCCGGGCUCGGCCCUUCAUCACAAAUGCAGACUUGGAUCCUGUAAACGUGAGUUGGUUAAAUGAGAUGGCCAAAUGUUGCUUGAAAACAAAAUUCCAGGAGGUCAGCUUGUGUGAAAAUGGACCCUGAGACAGAACUGCUGACCCUAAAAUGUCACAGGCCUAACCCUAACCCUAACCACACAGCUACCAAAGGGCAACGCUGCAUUAAAGAUGGAGCGAAGAGCAAAGGAAGCAGCAUUGGAUGAGAUGCUGUAGGCUGCACUGCAUGCAUGUGUACACCGGGAAAAAGGAUGCUGAUGGGUGGCUUUUCCAUCAAGAGGUAUUGGCAGCUUCUGAAGGCUCUUCCAUCCAUAUGGAUCAUGCAAGACACUCACAGCAAACCAUGCUGUGCAAACAUGAUGUAGCACUGAGAGAAGAUGAAGCAUUUGUCUGCCAGCCUCCUCUUUGUCCUACCUGGGAUCUGACCGGUUCUUGCAGCAGUAUGGGAUAACAGUUCUCACCUGCAGAGGUAACUGCUGGAUUUGAUGGCCUACUGCAAGGGUCUUGCUUUCCCACUCAACAGCAACAUAAAGCAAACAUGAGCUGCUCUGCAAAGCAGCAUCCCAGCAGCAGUGCAGUCUUUGGCAGCUUAGACUGGUUUGGGAUACAACGUGGGAUAUGCAAACACAAUUGACUGGUCUCCACGUGGUGCAGACAUGGCACUGUGGACUGAAAAUAAAGAGAAACAAAUGAGAAACAUGGAUGCUGAAUGGUGGGAAAGCCCCCAACCAUCGAAGGUAGACCUCAGGCAACAAAACCUCAAAAUGAUUCUACCUCACACCCUGCUCUAUGGAGAUAUUGGUUCUACAAAAUUCAGAGAAUGUAGCUACAGCGUGCUGCAGCUCCUCAUCGCACUCAUCACUGAACUACAGAAGCACAGGGCACCGAAGGCACUCUACCUGUCAGAUGGCGGAAUACACACCUGCUCCUGUACGUAUUUUUUCUUCCAAGCUUGGUUAUCUCAGCACCUUCUUGACGUUUCCAGCAGUGCCUGGUAAUGCUGGAGCAGAAGUGGCCUGCUAAACUGCCUCCUUUACCAAGACACGUGUUCAGCUUCAGGUCGGUGCCAGAGCUGCCUCCCAUGCACACACCCUGCACCCAGGAGGUUUGACUCGUGCCCACCUCUGCACACUCACGCUCAGGUACAUGAUAUGCACACUACACAUGCUGGAGUCCAAGGGACAACAUACUUCGGUGUUCGGUGUUAUAAUUAUCAAAAAACAUUUGCUUUCUUAUCAGCAAUGAGAAAACAAGCAGGUUGACCUUCGGUGCGAAAGCACUGCAUGGAAAAUUUGGGUUAUGCUGCUUUUAAAAUAACUUUUCCUGUUGACAGAAUCUCACAAUGCCAUCUGAAAAUGGAACAGAAAGAAGCAGCUCUGCCGUUACCUUUACAUACAGGCUGUCUGGGACGCAUCACCAUGGCGGAGCAGCAGGCUGCUGCCUUCCUUCCCAGGAUCCUGGCUUUUUCCCAGGGAAAACCUAUUUCGUGGCUUAUGGUUUUUAAUUGAGACCAUUUCGAUUUGUUGCUGAUUCUGUUUUGAAGACACUGUUUCCAUCAGCAUGUCUUAAUAUACUAAACGUGUCCCCUAAGCCCAUCCUUGAAGCUUGGCGCUACGAUUCCCUGGUACAACUUUAUGGUUUGGAAGACUUGUGUACACACGCAUUCCCGACGUAGCAGAGUCCCCUACAACAACCAGGAGCUACAGUUAUAAUUUCAGUGCAUGUUUCAAACCUGAAGCGGGACAGAAGUCACACAACUGGAAACAAAACAGCUCGUGAAUGGUGAUUUAUUUACAGAGACUGCUUCCAGCAGGAGAACUCAGUCUGCAUCCCACGCUUCCAUUGGAUAUUCAACAAGGUAAGACAAGCACAGAGCUCUGAGACAAUCCUUCACAGGUUGGGUUCCCUUUCACUUUUUGGCCUUCCCAUCCCAUUGGGGAAUGGCUGUGCCAUUCACCCCAGAGGAUGGGAAGGGAAACCCCCCACCCUGGGCACUUGUGACCAUGAGAGCGCAUCCAAAGCCAACUGGAGAUCUGUUCUAUUACAAUACAACCCCCAGCUACCCUGGAAAGCAGGAUCAGCACAGGUCAUCUCAAAAUACAUUGCGCUUCUGUAUCCUGCAUUCAUGUUCAGCUGGUAUCCAUCACUUUGCUCCAUGUCGGGGUGUUGGGGGGACGUGGGCUGUGCCAGCAUGCUGAGUACAGUGUGAGUGAGCAGUGCUCAUCUGCUCUGCUCUCUUUUCACAUGAAAACUUUGCAGAAAAAAAAAAAGAAUCUGGACUUUUCUUCCAGAAGUUGUGUGCAGAAAUGCGCUAAGAGCACACAGAUACCUGGCAAUACUAUCCUGUACUUUUUAAUCACAUGUUUAUUGAAAGGCUCAUAAUUAGCUUCUGAUUUAGAAUCGUAGAGCCAUAGAAUGGCCUGUGUUGAAAAGGACCACAGUGAUCAUCUUGUUUCAACCCCCUGCUGUGUGCAGGUCACCAACCAGCAGCCCAGGCUGCCCAGAGCCACAUCCAGCCUGGCCUUGAAUGCCUGCAGGGAUGGGGCAUAUUUGUGAAAAUAUAGGUAGCUGCUGCAUGCUUUUCAUGAGAAUAAGGGCUGAAAUCUUUUGUUUAACCUAUUCAGCUGUUUUUGUCAAAUUCCAUCUGUUGCACAAUGGGGAGGUGAUGCAAAAUCAUUGUUCUAGUCUUUUAUUUCGCUAUUUAUUUUAGUUGUGACAUUUGACAAUCGUGAAUUGCUGCUCUCUGGUUAUUUCUGUGCAAAUUGAUAGCAAAUGCCUCCCUAAAGAAAAACAGGGUGGCUAGUGUUUAAAUAACAAUAGUUUCAACUGGGGGGAGACCAGAAAAUUAAGCAGGAUGCAGUUUUAAAAGAAUGUAGAGAACCUUUUGCUCUGCAUUACAGUCAUAAGGUUUAUCCAGAGUGCGAUUUCAAAGUCAAUUACAAGAAAAUUACAGUUGAAAACUGAAUUCUGAACACACUUCCAACUUUACAGCAAGGUAGUACUUUUGUGCAAAAAAAUAUAUUUUAUACCUUAUACAUCCGUUGUUUUGAACAGGAAAAAGCUCUCUGCCCUGAGGAACCCAUAUUCUAGCAUCCUGCUCUUAAGAAACAUGGAAGUGCUUAACUUUCUGAUCAUAGGCUCUCUAAUGGAAGUCAUACAAAGUUAACGAGGUUGUGUUUUUUUUUGGAUAGGGCCCAAAGGCUCCAUUCUGCAGGCUUACAGGAGCGAGUCGUACUUGCAGUGCAUCUCUCUCUGCAAGCUGCAGUUUCCAAGUUCUGACCCUAAUUGCAUUAUCAAUUGGCAAAGGAUGCAUGUAUUCACAACACAGCACAAGGAGGAAUGGAUCAUGAAUGUAGCAAGGAAGGAGACUACACCUUAGCACUGAUUUCACUGGUUUGUCUUCUUUUUAUGCUUGUGAAUUUUUCCUACCCUCUUUCUUUAAUCUCAUUAGGAAAAUAUUGAGUCCCUAUGUUGGUUACAGACCUCUCUAUGGUCAGUCCUUGGCAGUCAUCUCAGAAGAACCAAGAGCAGAAUCUUUUUUGCACAGACAAAUCCCACAGGGGUGUACUUAGCAAGAACUGCUGCAGUAAACACCCCAAAGCUCCAUAAAAGCACUGCCCUUGUCUGUUGCAUAUAGGAAUUUGCCAUGUUCUCAUCUGACUAUCUGUUCACAGUGAUAACAAACUUUGAUGUGAAAAACGGGGAGUUGUAUGGCCUGACUGUGUCAGCAUGCUGAUGCCUUGCCAUAGCCAACCACCUCCCAUAGCGCUGGCUGAAAAACAGCUGAUUAGUUCAGAAUUAUAUAGGCAGAAAAUGACAAGCAACGAUAGAGAGGACAUCCUGCUCCAGGUUAAAAGAGCACGUCAUCCUCUGCUACCCAGAUCCAUCAGCUGCAGCGUUCACCUUAAAAACAAUCACUGGUGACCAUGAAUUUUUUGCUUCUGUCUCAGUUUGACCCAGUGUCCACGGCCAUUGCUAAUGGUGCUUUCAGCUGUGCAGAGAGGCUCUGUUGAUUGAGGACCACUGCGGUCCCGAUGGUCUUCAAUAUUCUGUGUUGUAUUUUAACAUACAAAAUGUGGUCUGACGUGCUGAUCAGAAAACUCUCGAGCCUCUUGUACAGUGCUCACAUGAGUAAUUAACCUUUAGGAAGGGCUCUGUGUCAAACACUACCUAAGAAAAUAGGAAGCAGAAAUGCCCUGCUCUGCCAGCAGCUCAGACUGGGCAGCUCUGGUUGGAUAAAAAUGCUGAUGCCCCUUGGCACGGUGAUGAAGGCACUCACAUGGAUGUGUCAGGUGCAGUUUGAUUUUCUCCCACACAACCCAAACCCACAGAUUUUACCCCAACUGCCCUGUCCCAACUUUCCUCUGGGGGUGAAGUGCCACCUUGCAUAAAUAAUCUGAGUUUUUGCCACUGCCUGGAAGUUGGUGCUGUAAUUACCAGACCAGAAGGACUUUCCUGAUAUUUCUCUGUGUCAUUUUGUUCAACGCAAGAUUUGGUUUUGCUGUCUCAGCAGGGUGAGGACAGCAUGAUUUUUUUUUUCUCCAGAUCAACACCUCAACCAUUUUCAGUUUGGCUGCUGAACAAAAAAUAAGAGGUUUCUGCACGGCCUCUUGUUCAGUGCUCAGAAAGAGAGUAAUUAAACUUUAAAAAGGGCUCUGUGUCCAACGAUAACUAAGAAAAUAGGAAGUGGAAGCCCCCUGCUCUGCCAUCAGCUCAGGCUGAACCUUCUAAGUGCCCUCAUGUUUUAGAAGCUUCACAUGCUGAGUACUGCAGGGACAGCUCUGUAACGCAACAGUUCAGGUCUCUGGGGUAUGUAACAAAAAAUCCUUAGAGCUUUAGCAGCACCUGCAGGAGGGAAUUCACUGUGGGCAAUGCCAGGUCUGCCGCUUGGGUCACAGCACCCUGAGCACGGGGACAGCUGGGCCUUCAGCUCAACUAAGUCAGCACUGGUGCACUCCAAAUGGGCUGCCAGGAUUUUACACAAAGGGCAUUUUUCAGCUGAGGGUGACAGUGGAUGAUUACUGGGAGGGCUGGAGGUGCUGGAGGAGAUUAGGGCUCGGUGUCUGUUGGGAAUUGGGCAUUCUGCUCACACUCUUCUGACAACCCCACUCUGCAGUUACCUAGAUCUUACAAGCACCUGAAACCUUGGAUAGCAAGUGGGAAGCUCUUUACUCGCCUACUGAAAUGGCAACUAUUUAAUUUUUAUAUUCAUAUAUUCUUCUAAUUUUUAAGCUUUAUAUUUUUGUAUGGAAGAAAGUAGGAUUAUUUUUACAAAUGGAUCAUCUUCUCUAAGAAUACUGCUUAUGCUUGGUCUGGUUUUCUAUAUACUGCAGCAUAGUAAAGCUUCAACUGCAAAGACUUAUGCAGUGGCGUAAAUUGUUAAUCUUAUUACCCUUUUCUUUAACAUCCACCCUAUAAUAAUAUUUGUGCAGCUGGAUCCUCAGUCCUUCAUUGACCUGAGUGCAUAAUAAGCUCUCAGAUGCUAUCUUCUCUGGACCAAGAAGUUACUAACAAGCUAUGAUACAGGGACAUUCAUUCUGAGACACUGGUCUGGAAUGGUAGGACUGUUGGUGGGCAGUCAGUUCUGUAGGAUGAGGUUUCCUGGAAGUGCCCUGAGGUAGAUAUCACAGAACACAGGUAUCCAAAAUCAGCAGGCAGCCUGGCAAAUUGCAGUGUAUGUCUUCACCUGUUUGGCAGUGAGUGCUUAUCUUGUUAUGGGUAUUGUGACAACGCUAUGAAUAAAUAAGAGUUACCUAUCUUAGCUAAGAAAGUCAAGAAGAGUCGCAGCCCCCAGGUGACACUGUCUGCAGCACUUUCUGAUUUCCUGAAUUUCACUGAAUUGCAGUGCUGCCAUGUGGGAUAGGUUCUUUGUUUGGAGAACACAGGCAAGCAAACCUUUUCCAUGAUUGUAAUGAAUGGGACAGGGCUACCUUCUCAACUAUAAAAUAUGCCACAAAAGGGAACGCGUCUUUGCUCCUAUUUCUGUUCUUCCACAAAACAUACACUUCAUCAUAGUUCCUCCUGCCCCACUACCAGCAGGUGACCAAUUUUCAAAUUAUUCAUUGUGCUACACCACACAAAUUUUAUGCAGAUUAGAAAAGAAAAGAGAGAGAGAAGAAAUAGUUUGCAAUUGCCUAAUUCAGUUAAAAUACUGGAUAUUCACUUAUGGAAGUAACAAAUGUAACACUAGUGAGUGAAUUAUGGCCCAGAGAGCAUGCAAAUCCACUGCACAAGUGGCUAGAUGGUGCAAGGGAAGCUUUGCUCAAUGAGUAAGAGCUUGAUUUCUCCUAAUUUGGAGCAUUUGACAAUACCUGUUGCAUCUCAUGUAAAGUGAGGAAAUUGCAUCACGUUACGCUGGAAUGUUGCUGUCUUCAAACGUCCGUAUGACUGUAUUCAGAGAUGUAUAAGGAAAUGCAAGGAGUAGACAAAACCUCCAGGAAGCAUCAGGGGAUACGUUCUUACUUUAAUAUUCAAUGUACGAAAUCUUGAGGGAAAAUGUCACGACAACUGGAGUUUUCUGAAUGGUAAGUAUGAAAACUGGCCUCAGAUCUGCUUAAAAUCUUAGCAUGUCAUAUGCGCU